rnacentral:tRNA from 2 species
GCUGGGGUAGCUCAAUUGGCAGAGCAUCGCAUUUGUAAUGCGAAUGUUGAAGGUUCGAUUCCUUUCCCCAGCUCCA